rnacentral:tmRNA from 1 species
GGGGGCGUCCUGGUUUCGACGGGUAGUCUGCGGUCGGGGUGGCAUGCCGAGGAUGAUUCGUUGGCCUCGUUAAUCACCGGAUCAAACCAACAAACGCAAACUCCAACGAGCUUGCUCUCGCGGCCUAAGCCCCGCGACGUCUCCUGAGGAAAGCCUGAUACCUUAGCAGACGCCACCAUCAGGCUGGCUGGCUGGCCGGGCGACCGGGCCGAAGGCGAGAUCAAACAGGACGCUAGGUGAAAGGAAUUCCGCAGACUGAAGUCCCUCAUCGAGAUCAAAGAGCCUGCUAAGCAUGUAGAAGCUCCGGCUUACGGCCAUUCGGACAGGGGUUCAACUCCCCUCGCCUCCACCA